rnacentral:rRNA from 1 species
AGCGAAANUCCUUGUCGGGUAAGUUCCGACCUGCACG